rnacentral:sRNA from 1 species
AAGCCAGCGCUGGACUCCUGGACUUCCCUACCCCUGUAACAAGUACAGCACCGGCAGCAGCUAAGGAAGCUUCCCAACACUGCCCUGCCAAUUUGCUUCAGCAAUGACCCAGAGGCAUCACAUCUGGAGGGAUCUAGGAGUGCAAGCAGAGUUCAGUUCCCAGCCCAAAGCAGAAAAU